rnacentral:sRNA from 1 species
AGUAGCUGAACGCCUCACUACUCCGUGC